UACGAAGGCCCCAAGCGUUAUCCGGAUUUAUUGGGCGUAAAGCGUGUGUAGGCGGUUUAUUUCAUCUCUUGUUAAAUCAUCGGGCUUAACCCGGUGGCCGCGAGAGAAAUGGGUAAACUAGAGACAGGAAGAGGCAAGUGGAAUUGCUGGUGUAGGGGUUAAAUCCGUUAAUAUCAGCAGGAACACCGAAUGCGUAGGCAGCUUGCUAGGACUGUUCUGACGCUGAGACACGAAAGAGUGGGGAGCGAAUGGG
rnacentral:rRNA from 1 species